ensembl:lncRNA
GUUGCCAGGGGCUCCGCGGAGUUCCGGCCUUGGCGGCAACGGGUGGCAAGUGUCCAGGGAGCGCCCCGCGGUGAGUCCAGGACGCAGAGAAGAGUCUCGCGGGAGCCUCACCCGAGACAGCACCGGCGCCCGGGCGAGCCGAGCCCUUCCGCGGUGAGUCGGCGCCCUGGGGUCGCCGCUCCAGGAGCUCAGGGGAGGCACCUCCCCUCCUCCGUGUCUCCGCAUGGCCCUAGGGCUCCCCACAGAGGGAGCCGGGGCCUCCCGCCCACGACCGCGGAGCGGCCCCUUCCCGCGUGGCGGGGCCAGCGAGCUCCUCUUGCGGGGCGUGGACGGGGCCGGGGUGCCCGGCAUCCAAGCUUAUGGAGCAGCCCCCUUUGAAGAUCUCCAGGUGGACCUCACAGAGAUGCAAAGUGUGGCGGUAACAAGUGUUUGCUAGUUCUUGUGUGUACCUGCUCUGGGUGGGUGGAGGCUCAUCCAACACGAACUGAGAAAGCUCCUGAAGUAACCCGUGUGCUUCUUCGAGAUCUUAUUCCUAGAUUUGGACUGCGCUUACGGAUGGGCUCAGAUAACCGCCGGGGGUUUGUGGCUGACUUGGUACAGAAGACAGCGAAGGUGACCCAGUGUGGAUCAAGGACUAGAACGUAGCCUCUUUGUGCCCAGGGUGGAAAGGACCCCAGACUGUCGUCCUGACCACUCCCACCGCUGUGAAGGUAGAGGGAAUCCCAGCCUGGAUCCACCACAGCCUUGUAAAACCUGCAGCGCCUGAAACCUGGGAGUCUCUCGUUCCACCUAACGAGAAACACCACAGGUGUGGAGGGGCAGGCCACCCCUUCAGGCAAGACCAAGCCCGGACAACCCUUGCGGAGUGACCCUGAAGAAGACGACAAGCCCUACUCCAGUCACACCCGGAAGCUGACUGGUCCACGCACGGCCGAAGCAUGAGGAAUCUCAUCGUGGGAUUCAUUUUCUUAAAUUUUGGACUUAUACAGUAAGGGCUUCAACUGACCUUACUCAAACCGGUGACUGUUCCCAGUGUAUUCAUCAGGUCACUGAGGUAGGACAGCAAAUUAAAACAAUCUUCCUGCCGGGCGCGGUGGCUCAAGCCUGUAAUCCCAGCAUUUUGGGAGGCCGAGACGGGCGGAUCACGAGGUCAGGAGAUCGAGACCAUCCUGGCUAACCCAGUGAAACCCCGUCUCUGCUAAAAAAAUACAAAAAAAAACUAGCCGGGCGAGGUGGCGGGCGCCUGUAGUCCUAGCUACUCGGGAGGCUGAGGCAGGAGAAUGGCGUAAACCCGGGAGGCGGAGCUUGCAGUGAGCUGAGAUCCAGCCACUGCACUCCAGCCUGGGCGACAGAGCCAGACUCCGUCUCAAAAAAAAAAAAAAAAACAAACUUUCUGUUCUAUAGUUAUUAUGAAUGCAUGGAAAUGUUGAAAGAAACUUGCUUGUAUAAUGCCACUCAGAACAAGGUAUGUAGCCGGGGAAAUGACCAACCUGAUGUGUGUUAUAACCCAUCUGAGCCCCCUGCAACCACUGUUUUCAAAAUAAGAUUAAGAACUGGCCUUUUCCUAGGUGAUACAAGUAAAAUAAUAACUAUAACAGAAGGAAAAGGAAUCCCCAAACAAGUAGCCUUAAGAUUUGAUGCUUGUGCGGCCAUUAAUAGUAACAAGCUAGGAACAGGAUGUGGUUCUCUUAACUGGGAAAGGAGCUACAGAGUAGAAAAUAAAUAUGUUUGUCAUGA